rnacentral:rRNA from 1 species
CCCUUAGAUGUUCUGGGCUGCACGCGCGCUACACUGAUGCACUCAACGAGUUUACGACCUUGCCCGAUAGGGUUGGGUAAUCUUUUUAAAUUUCAUCGUGAUGGGGAUAGAUCAUUGCAAUUGUUGGUCUUCAACGAGGAAUUCCUAGUAAGCGCGAGUCAUCAGCUCGCGUUGACUACGUCCCUGCCCUUUGCACACACCGCCCGUCGCUCCUACCGAUUGAAUGGUCCGGUGAAGUGUUCGGAUCGCGCCGACGUGGGCGGUUCGCCGCCGGCGACGUCGCGAGAAGUCCACUGAACCUUAUCAUUUAGAGGAAGGAGAAGUCGUAACA